GGCAGUGUAGCACAGUGGUAAGGCUCGGGGCUCGUAACCAAAAGUUUGCUGGUUCGAUUCCCUGCUUGGAUA